rnacentral:rRNA from 1 species
GUUUGAUCCUGGCUCAGAGCGAACGUUAGCGGCAGGCUUAACACAUGCAAGUCGAGCGACAAAGGGGCUUCGGCCCUGAGUAGAGCGGCGGACGGGUGCGUAACACGUGGAUAAUCUGCCUCGUGGCGGGGGAUAACAGUCCGAAAGGACUGCUAAUACCGCAUGUCAGGUCGGAAACCCCGGUUUCUGACGAAAAAGAGGGCGCCCGCAAGGGGCUCUCACCACGAGAUGAGUCCGCGGCCCAUCAGCUAGUUGGCGGUGUAAUAGACCACCAAGGCUAAGACGGGUAGCUGGUCUGAGAGGAUGACCAGCCACACUGGGACUGAGACACGGCCCAGACUCCUACGGGAGGCAGCAGUGGGGAAUAUUGGACAAUGGGCGAAAGCCUGAUCCAGCCAUGCCGCGUGAGUGAUGAAGGUCUUCGGAUCGUAAAGCUCUGUGGGAGGGACGAAAAGCCUAACCUAAUACGUUAGGUCUUGACGGUA